GGGGGGAAUGGUAAUGAACAUAAAUCUUUCAAUGGCAAAUUAUUACUAUAUACUAAAAAUGAAGUAACUUUUACUAUUCUUAAGAACAAUAAAAUUACCUUCUUACCCUUAUCUUCUGCUCUUUUUCUUUUCUUUUUUAAUUUAUCUAAAACUCUAAUUCAUGGUUGUGGAUAUUUAAUAUCUGAUAACAGGUUAGACGGUCA
rnacentral:misc_RNA from 1 species